rnacentral:rRNA from 1 species
GGAUCAGUGGCGAACGGGUGAGUAACACGUGAGCAACCUGCCCUGAACUCUGGGAUAAGCGCUGGAAACGGCGUCUAAUACUGGAUAUGAGCUGCGGAGGCAUCUUCGUGGUUGGAAAGAUUUUUCGGUUUGGGAUGGGCUCGCGGCCUAUCAGCUUGUUGGUGAGGUAAUGGCUCACCAAGGCGUCGACGGGUAGCCGGCCUGAGAGGGUGACCGGCCACACUGGGACUGAGACACGGCCCAGACUCCUACGGGAGGCAGCAGUGGGGAAUAUUGCACAAUGGGCGGAAGCCUGAUGCAGCAACGCCGCGUGAGGGAUGACGGCCUUCGGGUUGUAAACCUCUUUUAGCAGGGAAGAAGCGAAAGUGACGGUACCUGCAGAAAAAGCGCCGGCUAACUACGUGCCAGCAGCCGCGGUAAUACGUAGGGCGCAAGCGUUAUCCGGAAUUAUUGGGCGUAAAGAGCUCGUAGGCGGUUUGUCGCGUCUGCUGUGAAAACCCGAGGCUCAACCUCGGGCCUGCAGUGGGUACGGGCAGACUAGAGUGCGGUAGGGGAGAUUGGAAUUCCUGGUGUAGCGGUGGAAUGCGCAGAUAUCAGGAGGAACACCGAUGGCGAAGGCAGAUCUCUGGGCCGUAACUGACGCUGAGGAGCGAAAGGGUGGGGAGCAAACAGGCUUAGAUACCCUGGUAGUCCACCCCGUAAACGUUGGGAACUAGUUGUGGGGUCCAUUCCACGGAUUCCGUGACGCAGCUAACGCAUUAAGUUCCCCGCCUGGGGAGUACGGCCGCAAGGCUAAAACUCAAAGGAAUUGACGGGGACCCGCACAAGCGGCGGAGCAUGCGGAUUAAUUCGAUGCAACGCGAAGAACCUUACCAAGGCUUGACAUACACGAGAACGCUGCAGAAAUGUAGAACUCUUUGGACACUCGUGAACAGGUGGUGCAUGGUUGUCGUCAGCUCGUGUCGUGAGAUGUUGGGUUAAGUCCCGCAACGAGCGCAACCCUCGUUCUAUGUUGCCAGCACGUAAUGGUGGGAACUCAUGGGAUACUGCCGGGGUCAACUCGGAGGAAGGUGGGGAUGACGUCAAAUCAUCAUGCCCCUUAUGUCUUGGGCUUCACGCAUGCUACAAUGGCCGGUACAAAGGGCUGCAAUACCGCGAGGUGGAGCGAAUCCCAAAAAGCCGGUCCCAGUUCGGAUUGAGGUCUGCAACUCGACCUCAUGAAGUCGGAGUCGCUAGUAAUCGCAGAUCAGCAACGCUGCGGUGAAUACGUUCCCGGGUCUUGUACACACCGCCCGUCAAGUCAUGAAAGUCGGUAACUCCUGAAGCCGGUGGCCCAACCCGU